GAUUUUGUCCAGUAGCGGCUGCAGAACCAAAUACUGUUAUGCUGUGUGAAGAGAUCUCAGCAAAGGGACACGAGUUAAAGAGGAACGAUUACACUGUAAAAAGUCAUAAAACCUUCCAGGAUUAAAAAUCUCAGGAGGUUACACUGUGGCUAUGAGGAGAUUUUUAUAAAGCUUCAAUAUGGAGCCACGCACACAGGAACAACAGAAUGUGGACCCUCACCUUGUUGGCAAUGGUUUUCCCAAGUACACUGGCUCCUGCUUAAUCCAGAGGUUUUAAAACAGAGCUUCAAGCCGCAAGUGCUAGUGGCCCCUGCCCAGCCAGGCCCCUCUACCUGCACUCUUCCAUCUCAUGUCAUCAGAGCAUCUUACCUGGUGGCUGCCCAGUUCUCUUCACAGCUUCUCCUAU
rnacentral:lncRNA from 1 species